GGUCAAGACACGGGGUGCCGCGCACCCGUCGCCGCGCAACGCCGCAGUUCGCCAGAGCUGCAGCCGCGCAAACCGGAGGCGGGCGCGAAGCUGAGAUCACACCCGUCGAACCUGAACGAACCAAUAUUCGCGGAGGAAUGUCUGAUGGUGUCUUU
rnacentral:ncRNA from 1 species